UACGGAGGGGACUAGCGAUGUUCGGCAUUACUGGGCGUAAAGCGCACGUAGGCGGAUUUGUAAGUCAGGGGUGAAAUCCCGGGGCUCAACCUCGGAACUGCCUUUGAUACUGCAAAUCUCGAGUCCGGAAGAGGUGAGUGGAAUUCCUAGUGUAGAGGUGAAAUUCGUAGAUAUUAGGAAGAACACCAGUGGCGAAGGCGCCUCACUGGUCCGGUACGGACGCUGAGGUGCGAAAGCGUGGGGAGCAAACAGG
rnacentral:rRNA from 1 species